rnacentral:rRNA from 1 species
UACGUAGGGUGCAAGCGUUGUCCGGAAUUAUUGGGCGUAAAGAGCUCGUAGGCGGUUUGUCGCGUCUGCUGUGAAGACCCGAGGCUCAACCUCGGGCCUGCAGUGGGUACGGGCAGACUAGAGUGCGGUAGGGGAGAUUGGAAUUCCUGGUGUAGCGGUGGAAUGCGCAGAUAUCAGGAGGAACACCAAUUGCGAAGGCAGCUCGCUGGGACGUUACUGACGCUGAGACGCGAAAGCGUGGGGAGCAAACAGG